UACAGGGGGGGCAAGCGUUGUUCGGAAUUACUGGGCGUAAAGGGUCUGUAGGUGGCCAACUAAGUCAGACGUGAAAUCCCUCAGCUUAACUGGGGAACUGCGUCUGAUACUGGAUGGCUUGAGUGUGGGAGAGGAAUGCGGAAUUCCAGGUGUAGCGGUGAAAUGCGUAGAUAUCUGGAGGAACACCGGUGGCGAAGGCGGCAUUCUGGACCGACACUGACGCUGAGGAGCGAAAAGCCAGGGGGAGCAAACGGG
rnacentral:rRNA from 1 species